GAAGGGAUGCUAUAUCCCGUAACUUGUGUAUGAG
rnacentral:guide_RNA from 1 species